rnacentral:lncRNA from 1 species
UAAUUCAGUGGAAUGGUGUGAAAUUUAGUAAAGUUUUCAGCAGUUUUUGCUAUUGUAUGUGAACACACACACACUCACACACACACACACACUCACACACACUCACUCACACACACACACACACACACUCUCUCUCUCUCGCUCUCUCUCUCUCUCUCUCUCUCACACACACAAACACACACACACACAUACACACACACACACACACUCUCUCUCUCUCGCUCUCUCUCUCUCUCUCUCUCUCACACACACAAACACACACACACACAUACACACACACACACACACUCUCUCUCUCUCGCUCUCUCUCUCUCUCUCUCUCUCACACACACAAACACACACACACACAUACACACACACACACACACUCUCUCUCUCUCGCUCUCUCUCUCUCUCUCUCUCUCACACACACAAACACACACACACACAUACACACACACACACACACUCUCUCUCUCUCGCUCUCUCUCUCUCUCUCUCUCUCACACACACAAACACACACACACACAUACACACACACACACACACUCUCUCUCUCUCGCUCUCUCUCUCUCUCUCUCUCUCACACACACAAACACACACACACACAUACACACACACACACACACUCUCUCUCUCUCGCUCUCUCUCUCUCUCUCUCUCUCACACACACAAACACACACACACACAUACACACACACACACACACUCUCUCUCUCUCGCUCUCUCUCUCUCUCUCUCUCUCACACACACAAACACACACACACACAUACACACACACACACACACUCUCUCUCUCUCGCUCUCUCUCUCUCUCUCUCUCUCACACACACAAACACACACACACACAUACACACACACACACACACUCUCUCUCUCUCGCUCUCUCUCUCUCUCUCUCUCUCACACACACAAACACACACACACACAUACACACACACACACACACUCUCUCUCUCUCGCUCUCUCUCUCUCUCUCUCUCUCACACACACAAACACACACACACACAUACACACACACACACACACUCUCUCUCUCUCGCUCUCUCUCUCUCUCUCUCUCUCACACACACAAACACACACACACACAUACACACACACACACACACUCUCUCUCUCUCGCUCUCUCUCUCUCUCUCUCUCUCACACACACAAACACACACACACACAUACACACACACACACACACUCUCUCUCUCUCGCUCUCUCUCUCUCUCUCUCUCUCACACACACAAACACACACACACACAUACACACACACACACACACUCUCUCUCUCUCGCUCUCUCUCUCUCUCUCUCUCUCACACACACAAACACACACACACACAUACACACACACACACACACUCUCUCUCUCUCGCUCUCUCUCUCUCUCUCUCUCUCACACACACACACACACACACACACACAGCUC